rnacentral:rRNA from 1 species
GUGCCAGCAGCUGCGGUAAUACGGAGGGUGCAAGCGUUAAUCGGAAUUACUGGGCGUAAAGCGCACGCAGGCGGUCUGUCAAGUCGGAUGUGAAAUCCCCGGGCUCAACCUGGGAACUGCAUUCGAAACUGGCAGGCUAGAGUCUUGUAGAGGGGGGUAGAAUUCCAGGUGUAGCGGUGAAAUGCGUAGAGAUCUGGAGGAAUACCGGUGGCGAAGGCGGCCCCCUGGACAAAGACUGACGCUCAGGUGCGAAAGCGUGGGGAGCAAACAGGAUUAGAUACCCUGGUAGUCCACGCCGUAAACGAUGUCGACUUGGAGGUUGUGCCCUUGAGGCGUGGCUUCCGGAGCUAACGCGUUAAGUCGACCGCCUGGGGAGUACGGCCGCAAGGUUAAAACUCAAAUGAAUUGACGGGGGCCCGCACAAGCGGUGGAGCAUGUGGUUUAAUUCGAUGCAACGCGAAGAACCUUACCUACUCUUGACAUCCAGAGAACUUAGCAGAGAUGCUUUGGU